rnacentral:tRNA from 1 species
CGCGGGAUAUAUCAGUGGUAGAUGGCUAGGCUCAUAACCUAGAGGUCGGUGGUUCGAAUCCACCUUCCGCAACCA